rnacentral:rRNA from 1 species
AUUAAAAAUUCUAGUAAAGUAAUAUAGAAAAUCUUAAUCUUAUGAAUAAUAAUAAAUUACUUUAUAAAAAUUAAAAAAAAAUAUAAUAAAAGAACUGAAACAUCUUAGUAUAAUUUAAAGAAUUAGUAGAAAGUAGUGGCGAAUGAAAUCUACCGACAAAAAUGAUUUUUACAUAAAUUAUUAAAAGAUUUAUCUAUAGAAUUAGUACUGUGAAGGAAAUUUUAUUAUUACUAGAUUUAAACAAUGAUUCUCAUUUACCUUUUGUAUAAUGGGCUUACAAGAAUAAAUAUUAGCAAGCUAUAAGGCUUAGGAAACUAUAAAGUUAAUAUAACCCGAAACCAAGUGAUCUAAUUGUGAACAGUUUUAUGAACCAACUAAUGAAUGUAGAAAAAUUCUUAGAAGAUUUGCAAUUAGCAGCGAAAAACCAAUCGAACUUGGAUAUAGCUGGUUCUCUACGAAAAUUAUAUAAGUAAUACUUAAUUUAAAAAGUCAAACAAAUAGUUAAAACAUUAUUUGUUAAAAAGAUAACAAUCUUAAUUAGAAAUUUAUGAAUAUUAUAGAAAUAAAAAAAAAGAGUUUAUUAUUAACACAAUAAAAAAGUGGGCUUAGAAACUGCCAUAUUUUAUAGAGUACGUAAUAGUUUAUUUAAUAAAAAAUUUAACUUUUUAAAUUAAAUUUAACCUUCUAUCAAAAAUUCUAAUUAAAAAGUAGUAGAGUAUUUUAUUAUCAAUAAUGAAAAUUAAUAAAAGAAAUAAUGUAAGCAUGAUUAUUAAUAAAUUUACCCUUAAAAUUUCUUAUUUUACAAUGAAUAAGGUAAUACAAACCCUCAACAAAAAAGGGGUAUUUAUAAUUAACUCAAGAAAUAUUUUAAUUAUAAUUUGUAUAAUCUAAAUCAAGAAAGGAUAAAAAAAUAAACAAUUUUUUCUAAGUAACUCGGCAAAAUAGAGUAUCGACUGUUUACCAAAAACAUAGCCCUAGAAAAUAUCUAAGGUGUAACCUGCCCAGUGAUCUUUAAAUCAUAUAAGAGAAAAUCUUAUAAAUAAGUUUAAAAGGACGCGGUAACCUUGACCGUGAUAAUGUAGCAUAAUCACUCGCCAUUUAAUUGAUGGAUAGUAUGAAUGGUUGAACGAAUACUCCACUGUCUUAGAAAAAAAUUAAUAUAAAUUGAAAUAACAGUUAAGAUGCUGUUUUAAACUGUAAGACGAAAAGACCCUAUAGAGCUUAACUAUAGUUUCCCUACCCUUUAUAAGAAAAUAAUCAUUAAUCUAGGGAGAUUGGUAGUUUAGUUGGGGCGACUGUCUUUUAAAUACAACAAAGAUAAGCAAUAUUAAUAUUUAAUUUAUUGUAUAACUAAAAAGUUUAACAAUUAUUAUCGUAGGCUAUAUUGACCCGUUUUCUCUUUAUAAAAAGUAAAACGAUUAAUUAAUAAAAGCUACCUUAGGGAUAACAGGAUAAUUUUAUUUUAGAGUUCUCAUCGAAAAUAAAGUUUGUCACCUCUAUGUUGAAUUAAGAUAUCCUGGUAAUGCAGAAGUUACCAAAGGUAGGUCUGUUCGACCUUUAAAAUCUUACAUGAUUUGAGUUCAUUCCGUCGCAAGACAGGAAGGUUUCUAUCUACAGUUCAAAAGACCUAAAAGAUCCUUAGUACGAAAGGAAUAGGAUAACUAAAAAUCCAUUAAUUAUAUUUAAAAAUAAAUUUUGAAUGCCUCUAACACUUUAGAAUGGGUUUUUAA